CCGUCCAACCCUCUUUGUACUUGUUGUUCAUGAUCUUCAAUAUUUGUAACCUCAGAGGUAACAUGAUUAAAUUACUUUAUAUACUUUUAAAAAUUAUCUCAUUUUUGGUCCUACAUUAGUUUGCUUACGACGCAUUUUUACGUACAAAAAUAUAGGGAGUAACAGUUUCAAGAAUGAAAAGUCGGAACAAGGGCAAUCAUUUCCUGGAGAUGGUAAUGGUAAUUGUUCUAUUGGCAGGCAGAAUUGGAACAUGAAAUUUAAGAUGCUACCUCUCCUGCUCAAGCAGCGACUGAGUUUGCAGAACAUGCAGGCCUAUCUACAAGAGCUGUUGUAGAACUUUCAAGGCAAUAUUGUGUUGAUGAUAGUGUUCAUGCCACUUAGGUUUCAAGAAUGAAAGGUCGGAACAUGGGCAAUCAUUUCCUGGAGAUGGUAAUGGUAAUUGUUCUAUUGGCAGGCAGAAUUGGAACAUGAUAUUUAAGAUGCUACCUCUCCUGCUCAAGUAGCGACUGAGUUUGCAGAACAUGCAGGCCUAGCUACAAGAGCUGUUGUAGAACAUUCAAGGCAAUAUUG
rnacentral:lncRNA from 1 species